AUUGAACGCUGGCGGCAGGCCUAACACAUGCUAGUCGAACGGUAACAGGAAGCAGCUUGCUGCUUUGCUGACGAGUGGCGGACGGGUGAGUAAUGUCUGGGAAACUGCCUGAUGGAGGGGGAUAACUACUGGAAACGGUAGCUAAUACCGCAUAACGUCGCAAGACCAAAGAGGGGGACCUUCGGGCCUCUUGCCAUCGGAUGUGCCCAGAUGGGAUUAGCUAGUAGGUGGGGUAACGGCUCACCUAGGCGACGAUCCCUAGCUGGUCUGAGAGGAUGACCAGCCACACUGGAACUGAGACACGGUCCAGACUCCUACGGGAGGCAGCAGUGGGGAAUAUUGCACAAUGGGCGCAAGCCUGAUGCAGCCAUGCCGCGUGUAUGAAGAAGGCCUUCGGGUUGUAAAGUACUUUCAGCGGGGAGGAAGGGAGUAAAGUUAAUACCUUUGCUCAUUGACGUUACCCGCAGAAGAAGCACCGGCUAACUCCGUG
rnacentral:rRNA from 1 species